AAAAGAUCUAGGUUGAACAUUAUUAUGCUAGGCACACUCUCUAAAGGUUGGCAGGCAAUCCACGGCAUUUGGGAGCCCAGCAGUAAAUACUGUUUAGUCCUGAGACAUGUAGCGAGUGAGCAGUCCAAGAUGCUUUCCAGAGAGGAUUUCUGAAAUUUCACCUCCUACUAAACUUUGUUCAGCCACUGGGAUAUGACACCUUUACAAUGCAAGAACACCCAGGGAAUGAUGCCGGCAGCCUCUGCCCCUCCAUUUGCUUUUCCACAAACCUACCAACCCGAAACAAGCAUGGUGCGGAGGGUUCGGGCCUUGCCCUGGAAGGGCUCUUCAUGGGUCAUCCAGCACGUCAACAAAACUUUGCCUGCAUAUUUGGGCUUGCCAGUCCGGGGGUCACAGCGCAGAGAGAAUCGGACACCAAAACCCAAAUAGUAGUGGUGAGGUUCAUUAACAAAGAAGAAGAUAAAUAAUCCUUCCUCAGUAACAAUUUAAGGUGGUUUGGUCUGAAAGCUGUUUUAUUCGGCAAGAUUUACGUGCACACAUCAAUUUUUUAAGCACGCUCAGGCUGGAGCGAAGGUUUUAAAGAAACACUGGCAACUAGUAGAUUUGUUACCUUGUGGUGAUCUUUGCUCUCUGACAGCUAGGUUGGGAAUCAAUAUUCAACAUGAUUCAACCUACAUGUUUUAUUUAUGAAUGUUAAUAAUAAUCUCUCCUGGUACAGAAACCUUUUAUCUGUGGAGAUCUCAAAGACAAGAUAUACCUCAAGAAAUUUAUCAGCUAGGCCUCGCUGCUAUGUGCUGAAUUAGCCCAUUUCUGUAUCUAUUCCAACAGUGGCCUAUACCCAUCUAGUACUGCUGUAACAGAUACUGGUUUAAAAGGUCUGAACUAAACUAUUUCCGGGCACUGGAAGUUUUGUAUACCCAAUUUGAAACACCAACUACCUUACCAGGUGUACCCGAUGAUGCAGUCUGAGCUGGAAGUGUCCAUUUCCAGAUUAGUUUUAGUGUAUUCCUUUGAAAAUAUGGGUUGAAGAGAUUCAAAACCCAUUAAAAACCACAGAAUGACUCAAGCGCAUAUAUCUCACUAGAACUAAAAUAAGAUGCUGCUAGUCCCGUUUCUGGGAGGUGCUGGCACGUUCAUCCAUUACCUAUUGAUAUCCACAUUUGGGAACAUAAAGAAUUUUAAAAAUAAUAAUAUAUAACCGGGUUCCUAUGCAGAGGAUAAAAGCCCAUGCUCAGUAGCUCUGCAGUAUCAAACUCAGAAAAUAUUUCAAAUUGAAAGAAUUUGUUUUUAAUCCCUUAAGCCUUACCAAUUUUCAUCGAAGAUUUCACUUUGCUUUUUCCAGAAUAUCACUAUUUGUGCCUAGAUUCAAGGAGCAGAAGGCUGAAAGGCUUCCAUGAAUGGGAGGAUCAGCCCUGACAGAUUUCUAAAGGAAGUACAGCUUUCUGAAGAAAAUAAACUGCUAGAUUUAAGAUUAGCCCA
rnacentral:lncRNA from 1 species